GAUGAACGCUAGCGGCAGGCCUAAUACAUGCAAGUCGGACGGGAUUUGGGAGCUUGCUCCUAAUGAGAGUGGCGCACGGGUGCGUAACACGUAUGUAACCUACCUUAAUCAGGGGGAUAGCCUCUCGAAAGAGAGAUUAACACCGCAUAAUAUAUUUUUAUGGCAUCGUAGAAAUAUCAAAUAUUUAUAGGAUUAAGAUGGGCAUGCGGAACAUUAGCUAGUUGGUAAGGUAACGGCUUACCAAGGCUACGAUGGUUAGGGGAUCUGAGAGGAUGACCCCCCACACUGGUACUGAGACACGGACCAGACUCCUACGGGAGGCAGCAGUAAGGAAUAUUGGUCAAUGGGCGCAAGCCUGAACCAGCCAUGCCGCGUGCAGGAAGACGGCCCUAUGGGUUGUAAACUGCUUUUGUACCGGAAUAAACCCUUUUACGUGUAAGAGGCUGAAUGUACGGUAAGAAUAAGGAUCGGCUAACUCCGUGCCAGCAGCCGCGGUAA
rnacentral:rRNA from 1 species